CACGUAGGCGGAUAUUUAAGUCAGGGGUGAAAUCCCGGGGCUCAACCUCGGAAUUGCCUUUGAUACUGGGUGUCUUGAGUAUGAGAGAGGUGUGUGGAACUCCGAGUGUAGAGGUGAAAUUCGUAGAUAUUCGGAAGAACACCAGUGGCGAAGGCGACACACUGGCUCAUUACUGACGCUGAGGCUCGAAAGCGUGGGGAGCAAACA
rnacentral:rRNA from 1 species